AUUGAACGCUGGCGGCAUGCUUUACACAUGCAAGUCGAACGGCAGCGCGGGGCAACCUGGCGGCGAGUGGCGAACGGGUGAGUAAUACAUCGGAACGUACCCAGAAGUGGGGGAUAACGUAGCGAAAGUUACGCUAAUACCGCAUACGUUCUACGGAAGAAAGUGGGGGAUCUUCGGACCUCAUGCUUUUGGAGCGGCCGAUGUCUGAUUAGCUAGUUGGUGAGGUAAAGGCUCACCAAGGCGACGAUCAGUAGCUGGUCUGAGAGGACGACCAGCCACACUGAGACUGAGACACGGCCCAGACUCCUACGGGAGGCAGCAGUGGGGAAUUUUGGACAAUGGGCGCAAGCCUGAUCCAGCAAUGCCGCGUGAGUGAAGAAGGCCUUCGGGUUGUAAAGCUCUUUUGUCAGGGAAGAAACGGCUGAGGAUAAUACCUUCGGCUAAUGACGGUACCUGAAGAAUAAGCACCGGCUAACUACGUGCCAGCAGCCGCCGUAA
rnacentral:rRNA from 1 species